rnacentral:rRNA from 1 species
AUUAUGCUGACAUAAGUAACGAUAAAACAGGUGAGAAACCUGUUCGCCGUAAACCCAAGGUUUUCCGGGUAAAGGUAAUCUGCCCGGAGUUAGUCGGCCCCUAAGGCGAGGGCGAAAGCCGUAGUCGAUGGGAAACGGGUUAAUAUUCCCGUACCUGUGUGAUCGCGCGAUGGAGGGACGCAGAAAGGUAGGCCAGCCGGCUGUUGGAUUAGCCGGUGCAAGUGUGUAGGCUUGGAAGACAGGCAAAUCCGUCUUCCUUUAAGGCCGAGGCACGAUGCGGUGUCCGCAAGGACGUAAGUGGUUGAGCCUAUGCUGCCUAGAAAAGCUCCUAAGUAUAGUUCAUGCAGACCGUACCGUAAACCGACUCAGGUGGGUGGGGUGAGUAACCCAAGGCGCUCGAGAGAACACUAGUUAAGGAACUCGGCAAAAUGACCCCGUAACUUCGGAAUAAGGGGUGCUCUUCCGGGUGAAUGAUUUACUCAAUAAGCCCAGGAGAGCCGCAGAGAAAUGGCGGUGGCGACUGUUUACUAAAAACAUAGGUCUCUGCUAAGUCGUAAGACGACGUAUAGGGACUGACGCCUGCCCGGUGCCGGAAGGUUAAGGGGAGAGGUUAGCGCAAGCGAAGCUUCGAACCGAAGCCCCGGUAAACGGCGGCCGUAACUAUAACGGUCCUAAGGUAGCGAAAUUCCUUGUCGGGUAAGUUCCGACCUGCACGAAUGGCGUAACGAUCUCCGCGCUGUCUCAACUAGUGACUCGGUGAAAUUGAAGUCGCGGUGAAAAUGCCGUGUACCCGCAGCAAGACGGAAAGACCCUGUGCACCUUUACUAUAGCUUGACAUUGGGUUUUGGGCUGACAUGUGUAGGAUAGGUGGGAGGCUUUGAAGCCGGUACGCCAGUAUCGGUGGAGCCAACCUUGAAAUACCACCCUUGUCAGUCUAAGGCUCUAAUUCCUCGCCGUUAGCCGGCAGGAAGACAGUGUCUGGUGGGUAGUUUGACUGGGGCGGUCGCCUCCCAAAAUGUAACGGAGGCAUGCAAAGGUUCCCUCAGGCUGAUUGGAAACCAGCCGUCGAGUGCAAACGCAUAAGGGAGCUUGACUGCAAGACAGACAUGUCGAGCAGGAACGAAAGUUGGUGUUAGUGAUCCGGUGGUUCCGCAUGGAAGGGCCAUCGCUCAUUGGAUAAAAGGUACGCCGGGGAUAACAGGCUGAUCGCGCCCAAGAGUUCAUAUCGACGGCGCGGUUUGGCACCUCGAUGUCGGCUCAUCACAUCCUGGGGCUGAAGCAGGUCCCAAGGGUACGGCUGUUCGCCGUUUAAAGUGGUACGCGAGCUGGGUUUAAAACGUCGUGAGACAGUUUGGUCCCUAUCUGCUGUGGGCGUAGGAGAUUUGAGAGGACCUGUCCCUAGUACGAGAGGACCGGGAUGGACGAACCACUGGUGUUCCUGUUGUCUCGCCAGAGGCACCGCAGGGUAGCUAUGUUCGGAAGGGAUAACCGCUGAAAGCAUCUAAGCGGGAAGCCUGCCUCAAGAUAAGAUCUCCCUCUCUUUUAAGAGCUGAAGGGCCCGGGUAGACUACCCGGUUGAUAGGCUGGAGGUGUACGCAUGGCGACAUGCUCAGCUGACCAGUACUAAUAGCCCGUGCGGCUUAU